rnacentral:lncRNA from 1 species
GAGAGGGAGACACAGAAUCGGAAACAGGCUCCAGGCUCCGAGCCAUCAGCCCAGAGCCCGACGCGGGGCUCAAACUCACGGACCGCGAGAUCGUGACCUGGCUGAAGUCGGACGCUUAACCGACUGCGCCACCCAGGCGCCCCAUCUUCUUCUAUUCUUUUGAUAGCCAAAGUAUAAACGUAGAAAGAGGGCGAUGAUACUGGUCCCAAAGAGUUCCUGUGAGAAGGACAUCCUGAUAGUACACCGGAGGCACUCACCAGCAUGCAUCACCUCAGUUAUGUGGAAACCAAGGGAAGCACGAGAGCGGAGCACUCACGACUGGGAUGGGCGCCCUUACGAGAAGAGACAGAAGGAUCCCUCUCUCUAUCAUGUCAGAACACUGCAAGAAUGCAAGCAGGGAGAGAGGACUCCCCAGGAACCCAAUCAACCGGCAUCUUGAUCUUGCUGUUCCCAGUCUUUGGAACUGUGAGAGGGGCGCCUGGGGGACUCAGCCGGUUAAAGGUCCGACUUCAGCUCAGGUCAUGAUCUCGCGAUUCGUGUGGGUUCGCGCUCCGCUUCGGGCUCUGUGUUGACAGCCCGGAGCCUGGAGCUGGCUUCGGAUUCUGUAUCUCCCUCUCUCUCUGCUCCUCCCCCACUCGUGCUCUGUCUCUCUCUCUCUCAAAAAUAAAUAAACAUAAAAAAAUUGAAAAAAAGAGAAU